UACAGGGGGGGCAAGCGUUGUUCGGAAUUACUGGGCGUAAAGGGUCUGUAGGUGGCCAACUAAGUCAGACGUGAAAUCCCUCAGCUUAACUGGGGAACUGCGUCUGAUACUGGAUGGCUUGAGUGCAGGAGAGGAAUGCGGAAUUCCAGGUGUAGCGGUGAAAUGCGUAGAUAUCUGGAGGAACACCGGUGGCGAAGGCGGCAUUCUGGACUGUAACUGACACUGAGAGACGAAAGCCUGGGGAGCAAACGGG
rnacentral:rRNA from 1 species